rnacentral:lncRNA from 1 species
GGUGCUGCUGCCGCGGCCGCCAGGGAGGGAGGUGUCGGAGGGCGGGCCCCGCGCGGCGGUGGUGGGUCCCAACCGGCGGUACCGGGUUCCUUCCCGACCAGCGGUGCUAGGUUCGGUUCGGACGCGCGCUGCUGGAUCUAAAUGGGCAGUGCUGGGUCCGAUGGGUGGUGCUGUGUUGGGUCCGGACGCGCGGUGCAGAGUCCGGACGGGCGGUGCUGGAUCCAAAUGGGCGGUGCUGGAUCUGGACGGGCGGUGAUGGGUCCGAUGGGCGGUGCUAUGUUCGGUUCGGACGGGCGGUGCUAGGUCUAAAUGGGCGCUGCUGGGUCCGAUGGGCGGUGCUGCGUUCGGUCCGGACGGGCGGGGACGGGCGGUGCUGGGUCCAAAUGGGUGGUGAUGGAUCUGUGGACGGGCGGUGCUGGUUCCAGACGGGCGGUGCUGGGUCCAGACGGGCGGUGGGUCCGAUGGGCGGUGCUAGGUUCGGUUCGGAUGGGUGGUGCUAGGUCUAAAUGGGCGGCGCCGGAUCCGAUGGGCGGUGCUGGGUUCGGUCCGGACUGGCGGGUCCGGGUCUGGACGGGCGGUGCUGGAUCCAAAUGGGGGUGCAGUGCUGGAUCUGGACGGGCGGUGCUGGGUCCGAACGGGCGAUGGGUCCCAUGGGCGGUGCUAGGUUCGGUUCGGACUGGCGGUGCUGGGUCUAAAUGGGCGGCGCUGGGUCCGAUGGGUGGUACUGGGUCCGGACGGGCGGUUCUGGGUCUGGACGGGCGGUGCAGUAUCCAAAUGGGCGCUGCUGGGUCCGGACGGGCGGUGCUAGGUUCGGUCCGGACGGGUGGUGCUGGGUCUAAAUGGGCGGUGCUAGGCUCAGCAGGGGACCGGUGGGCGUGGCGGCACAGGUACGGAGCGCAGGGCCGGUGGAGCGCCCUCUCCGAAGGGCCCUGCGCUCCCCGCGCUCGCUGCUCCUCCUGCCCGCGCAUUGCCCCGGGGCUGCUGCGUGUUUCUUCCAGGGUGAUUCCUUUCCGCUGGGUCACUUCAAAGCCGACCUUUUCAAGCUGUUUUCUUCCGCGGAGGACACGUUGUUAGGCUUUGUGUGCAUUUCAAGGGUCAUGUUUUCUGAACCGCGCUCUGCCGCUCUUGGGGUGUUCGAGCCCCCACACUGCUGUGCGGUGUUCCUCUCACAGAGUGAGGUUGGAGGGUCCCACUCCCUUUGUGUGUCUCCUUAGAAAACGCCUCUUCUCUCAGACACAUCGUUAUCUGCCAAUUCUUCGCAGACGUAGAGAACGGACUGCAGAGUUAAUAAACGUCGAGGGGAAGCUUUGAUGCGCCCCAUUUGGCCCUGAGAGAUGCCACGUGAUCGUCAUUUUAAAUCCGAGCGCCAUCUCUGCAGUCUCCCCACGCCGGGUUCAGUCAGGCGAAGUUGCGUUAUCUGUGAUGUGUUGUAACAAAAAGCGUUUAUCUUUGAAACACUAAGACAAUUAAAGAAUUCUGUCAUCCGUUCCUGGGCUUCCCGAUGGACUCGAGUUUUUACUAUGUGAGCAUCCCGGUGCCUGCACAGCAAGGACUCUCAUUGGGUUCCACACGUGCUGCGCAGAUCCCUGACGCAGCGUUCACUGAACCUCAACUGCAGGAGCUUCAUUCCUGAGGACGCUGUUACCAAGAAUGACUUGCCUCUUGAAGAAUGAGUUUGCAAAGCCGGCAGUUAGAUUGCUGAUGUCCAAAGUAAGUAUGUGUAGCAUCACUAAAGAGAAAAUUCAGGAUUCCUGGAAAACAGUUAUGGGCUCUCUGCAGUGUUAUUUUUGUAAUAAAAAACAUAUAGCAUAUGUGAAAUACCUACUGGGUGAUGCAGGACACAUAGAAGGCUCGAAAUUAAUGUGAAUCAUUCUCGUUUUUCUGACUGUCAUUAAAAGUCCCCAUUUGUAUUAUGUAUGAGUGGUAUAUCAAUAUCUAAACUACACUUUAUUGUAGGUCCCAACCAACAUUAGUUUAUUGACAAAUGUUUAAGAGCAGCCAAAAAUUCAUAGAAUACCUAUGAUUCUUAAAUCAUGAACACUCCCAUAACUGGUAUAUGUUUAGGACAUGAAAAUUUCCAGGCUGACAAAUAAUUUCGCUGUCAUCGGUCAAGACUCCAGGAUGAUAUUCUGAGCCAUAUGUUAAUUUUGAUAACCACCUAGAACAAUAAAAGGUAAACAUGCUACCAUCUUCUAUUCUCAUUGCACCACUGGAUUCUGGUACAUCUAAAAAUUGUACUUAAAUGAUAUCCAAGAAAUGCUGUAAAAAACAAAAUAGGGCCGGGCGCAGUGGCUCACACCUGUAAUCCCAGCAUUUUGGGAGGCCAAGGCGGGCAGAUCACGAGGUCAGGAGAUCAAGACCAUCCUGGCUAACACGGUGAAACCCCGUCUCUACUAAAAAUACAAAAAAAAAAAAAGCCAACCCAUUUCUUAUCCUAAGAUUUGUCGGAAAAUACAGCAGGAAGUGUGAAGAAGAAGAGGAAGAAGGAGGAGGAGAAGAAGAAAAACUAUAAGAAGAAA